GUGCUUGCAUUUGAAGCAGGAAGGUGCCAUAAGAUUUGAGUUAAUACAAUAUCUGCUGGUCCAUUGAGAAGCCGUGCAGCCAAGGCCAUUGGAUUCAUCGACAUGAUGAUUGACUACUCAUUAGCCAAUGCAGGAUUAUAUCAUGUGAAAUGAUAGGAGUUGGCCAUGAAUACAUGGAAGAGAUCUUCGAUUGUUGCGAAUUUGUUUUGGCUGAAGAUGGUUUGUUUGUCCUAUAGGUUACAUGUUGUCUAUUAUAAUUUUUCUUAAUUAUGGUUUGAUUUGAAUUAUCUGAAAAGAAAGGUGUACCUAUAGUAGUCCAUUCAAAUGGCCCCACUUAGCCAUUUCCUCC